rnacentral:rRNA from 1 species
GCUUGUCUCAAAGAUUAAGCCAUGCAUGUCUAAGUAUAAGCACCCUUAUACUGCGAAACUGCGUACAGCUCAUUAUAUCAGCAAUUAUUUAUUUGAAGGUCACCUAUUACAUGGAUAACCGUGGUAAUUCUAGAGCUAAUACAUGCGUAAAGUCCUGACUGCGCGAGCGGAAAGGAUGUGUUUAUUAGAUACAACCAACCCUUCGGGUUUUUGGUGAAUCAUAAUAACCGAACGAACCGUAUGCGCAAGCGACGGUGGUUCAUUCAAGUUUCUGCCCUAUCAGCUUUCGAUGGUAGGGUAUUGGCCUACCAUGGCGUUAACGGGUAACGGAGAAUUAGGGUUCGAUUCCGGAGAGGGAGCCUGAGAGAUGGCUACCACAUCCAAGGAAGGCAGCAGG